UAGGGAAUCUUCGGCAAUGGACGAAAGUCUGACCGAGCAACGCCGCGUGAGUGAAGAAGGUUUUAGGAUCGUAAAACUCUGUUGUUAGAGAAGAACAAGGACGUUAGUAACUGAACGUCCCCUGACGGUAUCUAACCAGAAAGCCACGGCUAACUACGUGCCAGCAGCCGCGGUAAUACGUAGGUGGCAAGCGUUGUCCGGAUUUAUUGGGCGUAAAGCGAGCGCAGGCGGUUUCUUAAGUCUGAUGUGAAAGCCCCCGGCUCAACCGGGGAGGGUCAUUGGAAACUGGGAGACUGGAGUGCAGAAGAGGAGAGUGGAAUUCCAUGUGUAGCGGUGAAAUGCGUAGAUAUAUGGAGGAACACCAGUGGCGAAGGCGGCUCUCUGGUCUGUAACUGACGCUGAGGCUCGAAAGCGUGGGGAGCAAACAGG
rnacentral:rRNA from 1 species